ensembl:misc_RNA Metazoa_SRP Metazoan signal recognition particle RNA
GCCGGGCAUGGUGAUGCAUGCCUGUAAUCCCAGCUACCUGGGAGGCUGAGGCAGGAGAAUCGCUUGAACCCAGGAGGUGGAGGUUGCAGUGAGCCAAGAUUGUGCCACUGCACUCCAGCCUGGGAGACACAGCAAGAUUCCGUCUCAA